CAGCCGCCACGGUAAUACGAAGGGGGCUAGCGUUGCUCGGAAUGACUGGGCGUAAAGGGCGCGUAGGCGGACAGCUUUGUCGGACGUGAAAUUCCAGGGCUUAACCUUGGGGCUGCGUUCGAGACGGGUUGUCUUGAGUGUGGAAGAGGGUCGUGGAAUUCCCAGUGUAGAGGUGAAAUUCGUAGAUAUUGGGAAGAACACCGGUGGCGAAGGCGGCGACCUGGUCCAUUACUGACGCUGAGGCGCGAAAGCGUGGGGAGCAAACAGGAUUAGAUACCCCGGUAGUCCCUGUCUCUUAUAC
rnacentral:rRNA from 1 species